UUUAUUUGAUUUCUUGUAUUAGUCUUUUAAAAAGGAAAAAAAUAAUAAAAAUAGAAAACAAAAAUGAAAGAGAAAAAGAAAACGUGGAAAAAAAAAUAAAGUUUGUUAAAAAAAAGAGGGGGACACGUUUUGGAAUGAGGGAUGAGGCGACCUAACAGAAAUGGUUCCUCUAGCAUAUGCAACAACCAUCACUCUCUCAGGUGGCAUUCACUACAUGCUCAACAGAAAAAUGGCCCUGCAAAAAAAUAUUCUAAGAUGAUACACAGAGGAAGCACUCAUCAUGUUACAAGGGAAGAAUUUCACCAUCAUCAGACACUCGUAACGACUCAAUUAGAUUGGUUCUUUUUUCUUGCCCAAUUCCUCAUCUCCAACAGAAUGGGUCCUCCAUGAGGCAACCAUCACACACCACAUGCUCCUUCUUCAUCUUGGGUUUUCUAUCAGCAAAAACACAAAAAAUCAAGCACAGGAGAAAACCAUUUUCCACCGGACCAUCACAGCUUCAAGAGCAUCCAUCAUUCACCUCUUACGACCUCCAAUUCCUAUAUUCCCACGCAGACAACAUUCCCUUUUGACUUACAACUCCUCUCUCUCCUUACCCAUAACCACCACUCACCGGAAAAGCAAAAAAGGGUUCCUUCAUUCUCUGUCAAUACUAACAAUUGUUAUUCACCAAUCACCAUACCUCCCC
rnacentral:lncRNA from 1 species